UCUCCACAGACUGGUGCAUGGCCAGCUCCAUCACGUAUUUCACUCUGAAGUCAUCAGUAGCAAGAUGGCAUUGUCCACAGAACUUGCAAAGAUCUCAGCCCUCAGGUCCUCAGUGGUCUUGAGAUAAUGCCCCCAGUGUCUGACCCAGGGUCCCUUCUUCUCUAGGUGUUCCUGGAUUUCGCUUUCCAGUCUUCGAUCAUCAGCCUCCAGACGUCUCACUUCUUCAGACUGUUCCAGAGCACAGAGAAAGAAGGAAAACUUCCAUAUUUGGGGGAAGCAAGUAUAAGAUUGAUACCAAAACCUGACAAAGACUGCACAAAAGAAGAAAACCAUAGACUGAAGCUCACUUUUGUGACUCUAGAUGCAAAACUGUUUUAAACAAGUAGAAUCCAGCAGCACAUCAGUAAAACAAUGCUUCAUGAUCAAGAGAAGUUUAUUCAGUUAGAAAUACUUUUCCUGCAGUAUUACUCAUCUGCUUUAACAUCCACAUAUGCAGUGAUUUGAACUGAUACUAGCCAACUGGGACAAGACAAAUUAG